rnacentral:rRNA from 1 species
ACUCAAAUGAAUUGACGGGGGCCCGCACAAGCGGCGGAGCAUGUGGCUUAAUUCGAUGCAACGCGAAGAACCUUACCAAGGCUUGACAUGCAGGGAAAUCUCAUAGAGAUAUGGGGUCCGCAAGGGCUCUGCACAGGUGGUGCAUGGUUGUCGUCAGCUCGUGUCGUGAGAUGUUGGGUUAAGUCCCGCAACGAGCGCAACCCUCGUUCUAUGUUGCCAGCGCGUAAUGGCGGGGACUCAUAGGAGACUGCCGGGGUCAACUCGGAGGAAGGUGGGGAUGACGUCAAAUCAUCAUGCCCCUUAUGUCUUGGGCUGCACACAUGCUACAAUGGUCGGUACAAAGGGCUGCUAAGCCGCAAGGUGGAGCGAAUCCCAAAAAGCCGGCCUCAGUUCGGAUUGGGGUCUGCAACUCGACCCCAUGAAGUCGGAGUCGCUAGUAAUCGCAGAUCAGCAACGCUGCGGUGAAUACGUUCCCGGGCCUUGUACACACCGCCCGU